UAUGUGAUCGUCUCUCGCAUAUCAAUAAGCGGAGGAAAAGAAACUAACAAGGAUUCCCCUAGUAACGGCGAGUGAAGCGGGAAGAGCUCAAAUUUGAAAUCUUAAAGGGUUUCCCUUUACGAAUUGUAGUUUAAAGAAGUGUUUUCUGUUGAGGUUUUGGUAAAAGUUCUUUGGAAUAGGACAUCAUAGAGGGUGAGAAUCCCGUAUUUGACCUUUACUUUCAACUUUGUGAUACACUUUCAAAGAGUCGGAUUGUUUGGGAAUGCAGUCCAAGAUGGGUGGUAAAUUUCAUCUAAAGCUAAAUAUUGGCGAGAGACCGAUAGCGAACAAGUACCGUGAGGGAAAGAUGAAAAGAACUUUGAAAAGAGAGUUAAACAGUACGUGAAAUUGUCAAAAGGGAAGCGUUUGACACCAGUGUUGUUUUUCUGAAAAUCAAUUAAAGAACUGUUUAUGCUAAGUUGUUUAGACUUUAUCAGCUAACUGUUUAGUUUUGAGCUUUUCUUUAAUGCACUUUUCAGUUAACAAGUCAACAUCAAUUUCUUUUGCUGUAAAAAAGCUUGAGGAAGGUGGCUUGAGAUUCGUCUUAAGUGUUUAUAGCCUCUUGCCUAUGCAGUCGGAGAGAUUGAGGUCUGCAGCGUAGAUCCUUCGGGGCUAAAUGCAUUUGUGCUAAGUUAUAGCAUUUUAUAGACAACUUGUUGACUAUGAUUUGUCUUGUAGCUUACUCGCUUAUGUUAUUUUACCUACGCUUAGGAUGUUGAGUCGUAGAGCACGAG
rnacentral:rRNA from 1 species